GCCACCAACAACGCAUACAGGUUCCAGUUU
rnacentral:piRNA from 1 species